UACACAGAUGUCAAAGAUGCUUCAAGUGGUGUUGCAGUCCUAUGUAAACCCCAACAAUUACACAACCUUUUGCAAUGGAGGGCUGCACUUGGUGGUAGUGUGGUGCGAUCCUCUGGGUGCUUCCCAGUUUACUUUGUGCUGGCUGGGGAAGUCGGGGUGCCCUUAAUGUUGUGGCUAAAAUAAAAGAGAAAUACAGCGCUCUGUGGUGUGAUAAAGUUAAAUACCAAGGAUGAUAUUUUUAAUACGUAAACUGCUCAACGAUGUGGGUUGUACCAACCAAGUACAACAUUGGAUAUAGUGUGUAAGCUGUUGCCGGGACCCUGCAGCCAAUCCAAGCCUCAUAUGUAGCAUGCAAACAAAGAACCUCCGGAGAAAAGGGCUGGAUUACAAAGGGCGUUGGGAGCCAGAUACCUAAGCAAAGCAGGAAGCACCAUUGGCAGCUCUUGGCAAUAUGUCCAUUGACACAAUACAGCAAUGAAAGUUUCAUCAUCUGCAGAAUGACCUGCCAGAUAUCUGUUUGCGGUAAGCCAAGUUUACAAGAAUUAAAAUAUUGUGAAUUCAAC